UUAACUACAAGACUCCCUUUCAUCACAAGAAUUGGUUCACAUUAAAACAACAUCCUGAUAAGCAAAUGCUAAGCAGAGAUGGACAGUAUUCCACAUGUACUCAAAAAACUGCAGAAAGUCAAAACUACUAUGCAUAGGUAGUUGAACUGAUGACCUAUUUUACAACAGUUGUUCAUGAAGACCGAAAAACAAUUCUUAAUCUAAAACUUAUAGAAGAAGAUCAGCUUGUAUCAGGGUUUCGAACAAAAUGUGACUAGACUUGCAGCUUUUCCUCAAGGAAGCUUCUACAUCCAUCCAUCUAUGAACUUUCGUGUCUCACCCAAGAAUCAUCAUCCAGAUACAAACUUUACAACAAUACAGAGUGUGUUGAGGAGUAUGAGAAGAACUCUCAGAUAUUGAGUUGCAUAAAUAAGACCAAGUAGCUGGCCCUUGAAUGAAUUUCUCCGCACCCCUGAAUAUUCCUGGAAGCUCCAUCCUCUCGGAGCAAGGAAACGGUCUUCGUUCAAUAUUGCAAGUGCAUUUGCAAGAAGCAGGCAGCCCUCGAGCAAUGUCCACAAACCCAUGCCCUGACGACGAGGAAGACGAACGAUCGGCGGCAGGUGGCAGGCGUCAACCGGCGGCAGCAGACGGAAACUCUCAGUGAAAUAUGAAUAGACUUGAUUUGGAACCCAGAUCUGCAAUCUGAACAAUACGUAUACUUUCACUAAAGAGGCAGAGGCAAAGGCAAAGGCAAAGGGCUAAGUUUCAU
rnacentral:misc_RNA from 1 species